ACAGUAAUGCUAGGGGGGGAUGCUAUUUGUUAGCAGUGUUGGAAAACUUGGAGAAAACAACCAAAAGAUGCCCAAACUGGGACUAGGAAAGCUCUAUUUUAGAGAGAUCGUUUCUCUUACAAGAAAAUAACCUGGUUUUGCAGUCUGUUUUAAGACAGCAUGGCUUUCACUGUUUAGCAUUAUCUGGCUAACAGAGAGGACACAAUAAAUACCAAAAGUUAUCCCCCAGACUCACUUCUGACAGUGAUAGAUAAAAAUGUACCCCAUAUAUUGCUAAAAAAAUUGGUUAUGGUAUGAAGGGGAUGCUUCUGAAAAAUAUGUACUUCAUUAAAAUAGACUGCCAAGGAAAAUGUGAAAAGACUGAGCUGUUAAUUUAAACAGACACUGAAACUACAGUUUCAAUUUGGAAAGGUGGGGAUACUGCCAGCAGUGUGUCUGGAAGCAUCCUUAUUUUUCAUCUGUCUUAUCUCUUCGGCUCCUAACACCUCGGCUCAGACUGUGCCAUGUUUGUGUUUCUGCAGAGAAUAUGCCUCACCUUUAUGCCACGUCUCUCCGUAUUCGCCACCUCCUCUGAUGUUGGCAACUGCAAGGACGCCACCCAUGUGUCUCACGAAGAUGAGCCUGGACACGCUGAGAGAUGGUGGAAAGGUUAACCGUCCGGAAGUGCCCGGCGAGGAGCGCGCUGUCUCCCUCCACCACACGUACCCCUGAAGACACUCCACACGUGGGAUCACCCGAACGGGAGCCCAGUGCUUACAUAGUUCACUUAAAGCAAGUAAUGUAAAACUUCUGACUGAUGAACUGCAAAGCUCAGACAUUUGCACGAGCAUUCAGUAUACCUCACUUUGAACAGCUGUCUUGGCAACAAAACACUGCCCGGUCACCUGACGCAGCCCUGGUGUGAACACCCAGUAUCUGUCUCCAAAUUAAGUUGGAAAAAAGAAAGCAAGCUCUUUCUGAAUAACUGGGGAAAUGACAGGCUUCGGCAGCCCAAGGCUCCGGAUGGUCUGGGUGCUAACUUCCUGGAUGCUGAAGAUCAGAGGAAGGUGAUCUUCAGACACUCAUAUGGUCUUUCCUCCCAACAUUUUUCCUACACCUUGGAUGGUCUCUGCUGAAACUACCAGCACAUCCACUGGCUCAGAAAAGAAAACGUGCAUCAUUCCCAGGAAUUCGGACCCCAUGGUGUGGGAUGGAUGCCCAAAUCUGCAGAUUCAGCACAUCUGCUGGCUCUUCUGAUGCAGGUGGAUCUAGGCUCAAAAAACUAGUCACGCUGUUGACUUGUAUCAUCCCCUCUAGCCUCCUCAGGGACAUCAACCAAAAGCCAGGUAUUUUCCCACAGUCCUUGAUAAUUCAAUCUGAGACUCUACUUCUCUUGACCCAGUUCUCCUGCGAUUUUCUUUAGUGACUAGUGAUUUUCUUUCAGUGAGUGGUCCACCUAUCCUGCCUGGAUGCCUUUACAGGCCCGAUGUCUGCCGCCACCACCCCCUAUCCACUUGUUCAUUCAAAUAUCUGCUGCAUGUCCAUUAUGUGCCAAGCACGGUGCUGAGACAUACAGAUGAAUACGACCCGGAUAAUCCCUUCUGUCACGGACUUAACGUCUCCAGAGUCAAGUCGACACGUACUGCAAACACCCAUCCCUUGGCCCUUAGAACUUGGAGCUCUUCUGAAAGGAACUCGUUUCCCCAGUGACUCCAACUUGUUCUUGUUCUUGCUCUACCUUCUCUUCCUUACUCCUGAGGUAU